UUUUUAGGAUAAGUAUGUCCCGUUCAAUGUUUGUGACAUACUUAUUUUAAAA
rnacentral:pre_miRNA from 1 species